rnacentral:rRNA from 1 species
UACGUAGGGGGCAAGCGUUGUCCGGAAUCAUUGGGCGUAAAGAGCGUGUAGGCGGCCCGGUAAGUCCGCUGUAAAAGUCAAAGGCUCAACCUUUGAAUGUCAGUGGAUACUGCCGGGCUAGAGUCCGGAAGAGGCGAGUGGAACUCCUGGUGUAGCGGUGGAAUGCGCAGAUAUCAGGAGGAACACCAACGGCGAAGGCAGCUCGCUGGGACGGUACUGACACUGAGGCGCGAAAGCGUGGGGAGCGAACAGG